GACGAACGCUGGCGGCGUGCCUAAUACAUGCAAGUCGAACGCUUCUUUCCUCCCGAGUGCUUGCACUCAAUUGGAAAGAGGAGUGGCGGACGGGUGAGUAACACGUGGGUAACCUACCCAUCAGAGGGGGAUAACACUUGGAAACAGGUGCUAAUACCGCAUAACAGUUUAUGCCGCAUGGCAUAAGAGUGAAAGGCGCUUUCGGGUGUCGCUGAUGGAUGGACCCGCGGUGCAUUAGCUAGUUGGUGAGGUAACGGCUCACCAAGGCCACGAUGCAUAGGCGGACUGAGAGGGUGAUCGGCCACACUGGGACUGAGACACGGCCCAGACUCCUACGGGAGGCAGCAGUAGGGAAUCUUCGGCAAUGGACGAAAGUCUGACCGAGCAACGCCGCGUGAGUGAAGAAGGUUUUCGGAUCGUAAAACUCUGUUGUUAGAGAAGAACAAGGACGUUAGUAACUGAACGUCCCCUGACGGUAUCUAACCAGAAAGACACGGCUAACUACGUG
rnacentral:rRNA from 1 species